CCGGUGCACGAAUUUGUGCACCAGUGGGGUCCCUUGCCUGGCCUGUGGGAUCGGGCCAAAACCAGCUCUCUGACAUCCCAGAGGGGUCCUGGAUUGUGAGAGGGUACAGGCCAGGCCAAGGGACCCCACCGGUGCACGAUCAGGGCCGGGGAGGGACGCGGGAGGUUGGCCAGCUUGGGAGGGCGCUGGGGUGUGUCUAGCCCAUCUCACUCAGUCCCGAUCGGCCAGACCCCAGCAGCAAGCUAACCUAACAGUCGGAGUGUCUGCCCCCUGAUGGUCAGUACAUGUGAUAGCAACUGGUAGACCAGUCAAGUGUCUGCCCACUGGUGGUCAGUGCACAUCAUAGUGGUUGAGCAGCCUUAGCAGAUCAUUAGCAUUAGCUUUGGUUGGUUGAAGAGACAACCGGACACUUAGCAUAUUAGGCUUUUAUUAUAUAGGACAUCUUUACAUUUUCACUUACCAAAAUAAGUGUUUAUUUAACAGCAUAACCUUUUAUUUUCCUGACAAAAUAUUGAAAACAUACUCAUAUUACAAAGUUGUUUUCAAUCUUUUUCUCUAUUUUAUUCAAGGUAUAAGUAAAAUUAGUGUUAGUAUAUGCAGAGGUAGAAAGUUUUAUAAUAUUAAUGCAUGAUGUAGAAUUCAAAGUCAAAUAUCAGAAGCUGGAAAUUCUUUAAAUAUGCCUAUGAAAUAAGUGGCUUUUUUAUGGGGAAAAAAACAGGAUUUUGGGACUUAGAAGAGUCAAGCUUCUUAGUUAAAAGUUAAGAGAGUAAGCAAUAUUCUAAGAAUUAAAACCAAUUCUGAUCUGCUGUUGGUAACUGAAACUUAGACAUGUGCGGGUUUAUAUGUAUACACUAACACAGAUACACUCACCAAUACACUAAUUUUGAAAACAACUAGAAGAAUUCAUACUCUGUUAGUAAAUACAAGGCUAUUCGAGGACCAUCUCAGUUGUUUUAAACAACUUUUUCUGUUAACUGAGGAGCUAGGAAAAAUCUGGACUUAACUGAAAUAUUACUGAAUAACAUAUAAAAAUUCUUAAAAAAAGAAACAGUUGUACCUCCUAGAUCAAGGUCAGCAAACUAUGGCCUGCAGGCUGGCUGCCUGAUUUGUAAAACCCACUGUGCUCUUUUGGCCAAGUGGCUGCUCUCGCACCACAACAGAAGAGUGGAGUAUCUUCAAUAGAAAUCACAUGACCUGCAAAGCCUAAAAUAUUUAAUAUCUGGCCCUUUACAUAAAAAUUUUGCUGAUGCCUGGUCUAGAUACUUGCUAGGGACAAAUGGCCUCAAAUAUAGAGCUUUU